rnacentral:rRNA from 1 species
CGACCGGCGCACGGGUGAGUAACGCGUAUGCGACCUGCCCGUUGCAGGGGGGAUAAUCGGGAGAAAUCCCGUCUAAUACCGCGUAACGCCGCGGGGCUGCAUGGCCCUGCGGCCAAAGGGAGCGAUUCCGGCAACGGAUGGGCAUGCGUGACAUUAGCUAGUUGGCGGGGCAACGGCCCACCAAGGCGACGAUGUCUAGGGGUUCUGAGAGGAAGGUCCCCCACACUGGUACUGAGACACGGACCAGACUCCUACGGGAGGCAGCAG